UAACUGUAAUGGUACAUUGCUGCUUGCUUUAUGUCUGGCUUCACAUUAACUCUUCAAUUUGCUUGCUUUGGCUUCCCUGACUGUUAAAUACAUACACACAGGGUCACUUCGACAUCGUAAAAAAUCGGUUUCUGGAAUCAGCUCCUUAGUCUCCAAACUCUGGAGCUCUUCGCGUCGGUCCUGCUCCCGCAUGCUGUGUGGGGUCGCGUGCACCGUGCCCCUGGGUGGUUAUACCUUAACUACCCCUGAGAGCACUUUACAUCAGCAGGAGAAGCUUCACAGUGACUGGUGUGUCUGCAUGGUCCAGAGCAGAGCGAUGCUGAGAGGUUAACGAGGGUCCUAAACUCAACAGAGCUGUGCUGGAUAAGUUAAAGAGCAGUAAAUGCAGCAGCAGUGUCAGGUCCACCAAAGAGCUGCAAAUGGUAAAAGGAGAAAUGAAGUAAAAUUGCGUUUAUGUCCUGAGACAUGUAAAGGAAAGUCAUUAGUUAUUGAAUUAGAACUACCCUAUUUGAGGAGGUAAACUACAGCAGCAUAAAG